UAGGGAAUCUUCGGCAAUGGACGAAAGUCUGACCGAGCAACGCCGCGUGAGUGAAGAAGGUUUUCGGAUCGUAAAACUCUGUUGUUAGAGAAGAACAAGGGUGAGAGUAACUGUUCAUACGUUGACGGUAUUUAACCAGAAAGUCACGGCUAACUACGUGCCUAG
rnacentral:rRNA from 1 species